rnacentral:rRNA from 1 species
UGAGCCCUACGGGAGGCAGCAGUGGGGGAUAUUGCACAAUGGGGGAAACCCUGAUGCAGCGACGCCGCGUGGACGAAGAAGUAGUUCGGUAUGUAAAUUCCUAUCAGCAGGGAAGAAGAAAUGACGGUACCUGACUAAGAAGCCCCGGCUAACUACGUGCCAGCAGCCGCGGUAAUACGUAGGGGGCAAGCGUUAUCCGGAUUUACUGGGUGUAAAGGGAGCGCAGGCGGCAGCGCAAGUCUGAUGUGAAACCCCGGGGCCCAACCGCGGU